AGAGUUUGAUCAUGGCUCAGGAUGAACGCUGGCGGCGUGCUUAACACAUGCAAGUCGAGCGAAGCACUUUCGAUGAUCCUUCGGGUGAUUUGAUUGUGACUGAGCGGCGGACGGGUGAGUAACGCGUGAGUAACCUGCCUCAUACAGGGGAAUAACAGUUAGAAAUGACUGCUAAUGCCGCAUAAGCGCACAGGGCCGCAUGGCCCGGUGUGAAAAACUCCGGUGGUAUGAGAUGGACUCGCGUCUGAUUAGCUAGUUGGUGAGGUAACGGCCUACCAAGGCAACGAUCAGUAGCCGGCCUGAGAGGGUGAACGGCCACAUUGGGACUGAGACACGGCCCAA
rnacentral:rRNA from 1 species